GGGUAUCAGAGGACCAUCACUACUGGUAGCAUCUCUGGCUGCUGUUCACCUUGUUUUUGGAGUAAAACACGGUGGAAGCUGAAUUAGUGAGGAUGACUCCUGCUCCUGUCAUCUCUAAGCUCCUCACACAUCUUUACCUGCACAUGAGGAAAAUCACUCCUGUAGAAUGCAGAUGUUCAGAGGGAGAUGAUGCCACAUCUGGUCCAGCCGAUGGAAGGUCUUGAAGUUCUCUGACUGGCCUCGACUGAAGAUGGUCGUCUCACUGGAUUUAAGGUUCAGAUGCUCAGUAACAAACUCCACCAAUGAGCCAACAGGGAAGCUUUAGGUUUAUUAAAUGUUGCUAUAAAGGUUUUGCUGUUUUUCUUUGUGAAUGCAAUGUGCUCCAACUGAAACUUGAAUUAGAACUUAGAAGUAAAUCCUUCCAUCUGAAAGGAUUUAGUUGCAUUAAUAACCUCAUAACAUUCUAAUUUUUAUUCCAGUCUUGGUUGGAAAUAGAAUCUCUGUAUUGAUUCAGGUAAAAACUGAACUUCACAGCAUGUUGGAGCAAAACAACCAGAUGAAAACUGUGAUGGUGUUGGAUUGUCAGACCAUAAUGUUGCAGCUCAAAGCAGCUUUUCUAGCUCAGUUCAUUCUGACAUUCAGCUAUGAAUCAACACAGCAGAUGGUGAUCCAUGCUGUGGAAGUCUCACAUCUCCUGAUUUAAUGGAGCUGCUUUGCACUUUUUACACUGUUUAUUCACCAACACUUUAUUUAAUAAAAGUCCCAUCUAGUUUUUAUGAGGAAUGUGAUGUUUUAAUUUCUCUGUGAAUAACUGCAGUCUAAUGGAACAGCUGGAGUUGUAACAUCUGUCCUGAUAUUGAUCAUGAAGUAUUGAUCAGAAUACUUAUGGUCAGCAGUCAUCCCUGAAGUUUUAUAUUAAAAUCUUUACUUGUGUUGUGAACUUUGGUAAGAAGCAGAAACAUUAGUGUUGCCAUGGAUACAUGAGUGUUAAAUUCUGUCCAUGUUUCCAUUUUGGGAAAUGCAGUCCAGUUCCAGAAUGUGGAGGAAUUUAGUCUCAAUCACAGUCAACAAAUAUUAUCUGAAAGUCGGGUUAUUGUUGUUUAUCAGCACAAUACAAAAGAUUAAUGUUAGAAAUAUUCUAGUUAAGACUGUAGAAUAUCAGGAGUUAUGUAAAUUUACCUCAAUAAUAUGAAUGUUCAGUUUGAUUGUGCAGUGAUUUUUAUUAUGUAAGUUUAGCUGAUUAAAGUUUAGGACUCUGCACUAAAAUAUUAUUUAAAUUGACAUCAUUAUUAUAAUAUGUAGGGUCAGACUCUACAGUAUUGAGAUUAAGGAAUCAAAUAUUCUAUAAAAUGUAAAUACACUGAACUCAUUUGGAUAUAUUUAAGUGAGACUCUACAAUAUUUGACACAAAUCUAUCUAAAUCAAAAUUUUAAUCAUUUUUACUCCAAACAUUUACUGGACUGAUUUAAAUAUUAAAAUCACUCCUUUCUAAUCCUCUGCUGUACGUUCAAACCUGAGGCCUUAAAUAGAAACACACAAGUAUCUGAUUGAAGGAACUUCUGCAGAGUCCUGGUUCCAGAACAUGAUGAUAGAAUUAUAGACAAACUUUACCAAAAUCUGCCUGAGAGUUUACGGGUUUUUAUGUUGGAUUUCUUCAGUAAUUUAAUGAGUUAUCAGCAAAAAUCAAGUGUUCAUUUGAUUAACUUCAUUUCCUAAAACAUCCAGAAUUAGAGCUCAUGUCUUUGGCAGCUGUAAAGUUUCUGCUCCUUCAAAGUUCACAACACAAUGAAUGAAUUUCUAAAACACUCUCAGUGCUGGAGAGCGUUUGUGAUGCUGAAGCAGUGACCAGUUUUUCUGUUUCUUCUCUGGAGAUGCACAAUGAGGGACGUCUGCAGCGACUGAGAAAGAGUCUCGCCACAUCCUGACAUGAGGAAAAAGACUUUAUUGAAGACUACAAUGAGAAAAACUAUCAGACCGCAGACGGCUGCAUUCAAGGUGAGCUCUGAACAUUUGAUCUGGAACAGGAAUUCAAUAACGGCAGCAUGAGCUUCAUUUCAGUCUGUAGCUGCUGAAUUCAUGGAUGAAUCAUCUGGCACUAGAGAGGAAGACCAUCAAACAUCCACGUCAGCUGAUGGAGGUCCAAGAGUCUCACCGAACAAACAACCUACAGAGUGAAGACCUCAAAUCUGAUUGGACGGCCUCCUAUUCAGCCACAUUUUAGGCUGUUAGAUUGUUCCAGAUAAGACAAGUACAAGAUACUUCAGAGCCGUUCUACCACGAGCCUGACAGGAAGAACUCCAACAGCUACUGAAUGUUCCUGUGGUCCCCUCAAGGCUACAGGAGGAGCCCUACGAGGACGAGCCGGUCCACCUGAUGGCGGCCAGUCGCUGCGGUUCAAAGCCAACACCGACUACAUGGACUUCUACUGGACCACACGGAGGCCUUCAAACCAGACCAACAAGUUCAGCGACUCCCCGACUCGUGGGUCUGAGGACGCUGCCGAGCCUCGGUCCAGCCGGCCUCCUGUCUGUGGAUGUUUGAGUGCUGAGAGGUUUGUGGAUGCAUGUGAACAUGUCUGUGUUGAAACAGCAGCUUUGGACUCAGUAACGCUGGGAAAAACCAAGAGCUCCUUUAUUUGUGACUUCCAUUAAAAAACUGAUGAAAAUAAGUUUGCCAGGGUUCUGACUGAUAACA